rnacentral:rRNA from 1 species
UGAGGAAUAUUGGUCAAUGGGCGCUAGCCUGAACCAGCCAAGUAGCGUGCAGGACGACGGCCCUAUGGGUUGUAAACUGCUUUUAUGCGGGGAUAAAGUCACCCACGUGUGGGUGUUUGCAGGUAUCGCAUGAAUAAGGACCGGCUAAUUCCGUGCCAGCAGCCGCGGUAAUACGGAAGGUCCGGGCGUUAUCCGGAUUUAUUGGGUUUAAAGGGAGUGUAGGCGGCCUGUUAAGCGUGUUGUGAAAUGUAGAUGCUCAACAUCUGAACUGCAGCGCGAACUGGCUGGCUUGAGUACAAGCAACGUGGGCGGAAUUCAUGGUGUAGCGGUGAAAUGCUUAGAUAUCAUGAGGAACUCCUAUUGCGAAAGCAACUCACGGGAGUGUCACUGACGCUUAAGCUCGCAGGUGCGGGUAUCAAACAGG